CAGACCAUUAGCUCGGGGCUCUAUCUGGACGAUAUGCUGCGCUCACUCGCGACGCUAACCGUACAGAUCAUGGAGGUCGACCUGUGCAUCAUUAUGCUGAUGGAUCAGGCACGCGAGCGAGACCUGGAGCCUCCCCGUCAGGCACGCCGGCUGACCGUGCGCGCGACAUCGCCGAACCUCAACGACCGGGCCCACUUCCAGACUAUUGAUAUCGACCGCUCAACACUUGAGCGUCUGCGCGAGAUCAACGAGACCGAUAGCGCACAAGUA
rnacentral:rRNA from 1 species